rnacentral:rRNA from 1 species
GUCUAUGGCCAUGCCAACCCAAACGUGCCUGAUCUCAUCUGAUCUUGGAAGCUAAGCAGGAUCGGGUCUGGUUAGUAUUUGGAUGGGAGACCACUUAAGAAGACCAGGUGCUGUAGGCG